GAUGAACGCUGGCUACAGGCUUAACACAUGCAAGUCGUGGGGAAACGGCAUUAUGUGCUUGCACAUUCUGGACGUCGACCGGCGCACGGGUGAGUAUCGCGUAUCCAACCUGCCCCUUACUUGGGGAUACCCCGUUGAAAGACGGCCUAAUACCCGAUGUGUUUCAUUGACGGCAUCCGAUAUGAAACAAAGGUUUUUCCGGUAAGGGAUGGGGAUGCGUCCGAUUAGCUUGUUGGCGGGGCAACGGCCCACCAAGGCGACGAUCAGUAGGGGUUCUGAGAGGAAGGUCCCCCACAUUGGAACUGAGACACGGUCCAAACUCCUACGGGAGGCAGCAGUGAGGAAUAUUGGUCAAUGGGCGAGAGCCUGAACCAGCCAAGUAGCGUGCAGGAAGACGGCCCUAUGGGUUGUAAACUGCUUUUAUAGGGGAAUAAAGUGAUCUACGUGUAGUUUAUUGUAUGUACCCUAUGAAUAAGGACCGGCUAAUUCCGUGCCAGCAGCCGCGGUAAUACGGAAGGUUCGGGCGUUAUCCGGAUUUAUUGGGUUUAAAGGGAGCGUAGGCCGUAGAUUAAGCGUGUUGUGAAAUGUAGAUGCUCAACAUCUGACUUGCAGCGCGAACUGGUUUACUAGAGUGUGCACAACGUAGGCGGAAUUCGUCGUGUAGCGGUGAAAUGCUUAGAUAUGACGAAGAACUCCGAUUGCGAAGGCAGCUUACGGGAGCACAACUGACGCUGAAGCUCGAAGGUGCGGGUAUCAAACAGG
rnacentral:rRNA from 1 species